CCGGGACUGAAGCUGGGGUGCAAGUGUCCGCUGGACGUUCAAGCUGGGCACGCAGAACAGAGUUCACCUUCCAGAAAAGACAGGCUCAUAUGUGUUUACGCCAGAAUGGAGCUAUAGCAUUCCCGCUGGACUGGAGAAGACUCUUGAGAGUCCCUGGGACUGCAAGGAGAUCCAACCAGUGCAUCUAAAAGAGACCAGUCCUGGGCGUUCAUUGGAAGGAUUGAUGCUGAAGAUGAAGCUCCAAUACUUUGGCCACCUGAUGUGGAAAAAGGACUCACUGGAAAAGACCCCGAUGCUGGGAAAGAUUGAAAGCUGGAGAAGGGGACGACAGAGGAUGAGAUGGGUGGAUGGCAUCACCAACUCAAUGGACAUGAGUUGGAGCAAACUCUGGGAGAUGGUGAUGGACAGGGAGGCCUGCAUGCUGCGGUCCAUGGGGUUGCAAAGAGUCAGACAUGACUGAGCCACUGAACUGAACUGACUGGACUGCUUUAAGCACUUUUCCCCUGAGGAAAAUGAGAAAGGGCAGGAUUCUGUACCUGCUGCUUGGAACACAUAGUGGACAUGAUUCCCUCCCCUCCCUUAUGAAGGCCGGUCCCACCCAGUUUUAUACUCCAAGAAGCAACAGGUCCCGGAAAUGCCUGCAAACUUGUGUUGCCCUUUCCCGAAAGACUUCCCUGGUGGUUCAGACAGUUAAGCGUCUGUCUACAGUGUGGGAGACCCGGGUUCGAUCCCUGCGUCGGGAAGAUCCUCUGGAGAAGGAAAAGGCAAUCCACUCCAGUACUAUUGCCUGGAAAAUCCCAUGAACAGAGGAGCUUGGUAGGCUACAGUGCCUGGCAUCGCAAAGAGUCUGACACGACUGAGCGACUUCACUUCACUUCAUUUCCCCUAAAGUUGGGUUGAAAUGACCUGGGGGCAACCUUGAUGGCUAAGGAGGCAGGCUGGUGACCUCAGCGACAGUGUGGGUGCAACGGUUCUCUGCAGAGGGAAUGGAAAGAACUGGACUUUCAAGCUCACUUUGAAAGAGGCAAGUGGGAAGGAGACUGAGAGCAGACCAUAAAUCUGUUGGUUGAGGCAGGACACCUGCCCUGUCAGUCUUUGCUCCAUCCAAAUGGAAACAUGGGUGAUCUAGGAUUACCCUCCCGAAAGGCCGACCGUCAACGCACUGAAAGGUCACGUCUAUAACGGCUGGCGUUUCUCUCCCCGCCGAGCUGCUUUCUGAGUGGACGUCAUACUCAUCUCAUGCAGAAGGCAUGUUCUCCAUGCCAGAACGCUGCUGCUAAUAUUUGAUCUAAUAAAAGACACCCUAUCUUUUCUUCACGCUUCAUGACGUCUAGUUGCUGUUAGAUGAUCAUUCCUUUCUCCCUCAUCAUUCCAACUUUGUGUUCUAAGGACUUGAAUCCUUCAGCAAAGUUUUAUUUGCCACCUCUCAUUUUUAAGUGAUUCUUUUACAAAGAUAGAAACCAAAGUAAAGAGCUUUAUUUCCAGAAGUAACUUUAUGUGAAUAGUCGGUGUGCCUUUGGAAGGAGCCACUGGCCUUUACUAAUACUAUCAGCUUCCCCAGCAAACCACACGGCAUGUCUGUGUAGUAUUGUAAGCGGGGAGAGGAAGGACUAGAAACACAAUCUUCACCAAAAAACAAAACAGGAUCCAAAGGGGCAGCAACAGCUGGAAGCAGCUGCGAGCAACUGCACAGUGGAAUCCUGUCCAACUCUGCAGACGGACGUCUGAGCACUCUUGGAGCCUGGAACAAGAGGAACAAAAGACCACUUUGUAAGAAUGUCACACCUAAACCCAGCCAGCUAGCACCCCCAGAAUUCGGCAACAGGAGGCAUUCAUCUUCUUAGAUCCAAUCACUGCACAAAAUCAGCCCUAUUUCUUCUAGGAAGUCCACACACAUGAACUUCAUGCUAACUGGAGCUUGGUUCUUAGCCACUGGAGCCUUUAAGGACUCCUAUGGACUCUGUGGGUCUCCAUUUCAAAAGCAUUAUUGACAU
ensembl:lncRNA